UUCUUUGGGACGGGCUCAGAACAUUUUUCUCCCCCCUCUCUCCGAAUUAAAACUCUUGGAGGAUGGGGGGAAAAGAUCGGCCAAGAGCGGGAUUUACUUGGGGGAGGUUUAAAUUGAAUUAAACCCGAGUUUUUUCCUCCUUUUCCAGCCCGGAAUCCCAAUCCCUGCUCGGAGGAAAAUCCCUCCACCCAUCCCAUCCAGAUUCCCAGAUGGAAAUAUGUGGCGAAAUUGUUGCGGCCACCUAAAAAAAAAAUCCUUUUAUUGGGUGAAAUUCUCGGUCUGGGGAUGUUGCAGAUGAUGAAUUUAGAGUUACGGGAGAUGUCGGAGGUGAUGAAAUGAAAGAUCCGCGCACCCGCCGCUCAUCCCUGCGGGGUUUUGUGUCUCCAGAACCCGCCUUGGCAUUUCUCACUCCCAAAAAUCCCGGCCCAGGAGCCGCUGGGGGACCGAAUAUUCAAUAUCCGCACAGCCAAAUCCCAUAUUUUCCCUAGGAAAAAAAAAUCACAGGAGUGCCUGGCCGGCCCCAUCCCUAUAAAAACUGCCACGGGGACCUUUAAUAAACUGAUUUUAUCUGCCGGAAUCAUUAAAGCCGAGCGCUGCUCGCAGCCCUUUUGUGCUGUUUAAACCUUUACACCGAGCUGGAGAUCACAGCUCCUAAAAUAAAACUCCCUAAAAUUCC